ACUGUGUUUUUUUAUUGGUCGUCAUGAAAAAAAACAUAAGGGGUAGCACUGUUGUUUUUUAUUGGUCGUCAUGAAAAAAAACAUAAAGGGUAACGCUGUUGUUUUUGAUUGGUCGUCAUGAAAAAAAAACAUAAGGGGUAACACUGUUGUUUUUUAUUGGUCGUCAUGAAAAAAACAUAAAGGGGGUAACAGUGUUGUUUUUUAUUGGUCGUCAUGAAAAAAAACAAAAGGGGGUAACACUGUUGUUUUUUAUUGGUCGUCAUGAAAAAAAACAUAAGGGGAAACACUGUUGUUUUUUAUUGGUCAUCGUGAAAAAAAACAUAUAAAAAAAAAAAAAAUUGUCCUUCUCAAAUAAAAUAUAAGGGGUAUCACUGUUGUUUUUCUUUGGCCGUCAUGAAAAAAAACACAAGGGGUAACACUGUUGUUUUUUAUGGGUCAUCAUGAAAAAAAUCACAAGGGGUAACACUGUUGUUUUUUAUUGGUCGUCAUGCAAAAAGACAUAAGGGGUAACACUGUUGUUUUUUAUUGGUCGUCAUGAAAAAAAACAUAAGGGGUAACACUGUUGUUUUUUAUUGGUCGUCAUGAAAAAAAACAUAAGGGGUAACACUGUUGUUUUUUAUUGGUCUUCAUGAAAAAAACCACAAGGGGUAACACUGUUGUUUUUCUUUGGUCGUCAUGAAAAAAAACAUAAGAGGUAACACUGUUGUUUUUUAUUGGUCGUCAUGAAAAAAAACAUAAGGGGAAACACUGUUGUUUUUUAUUGGUCAUCAUGAAAAAAAACAUAUAAAAAAAAAAAAAAUUGUCCUUCUCAAAUAAAAUAUAAGGGGUGUCACUGUUGUUUUUCUUUGGCCGUCAUGAAAAAAAACACAAGGGGUAACACUGUUGUUUUUUAUGGGUCAUCAUGAAAAAAAUCACAAGGGGUAACACUGUUGUUUUUUAUUGGUCGUCAUGCAAAAAGACAUAAGGGGUAACACUGUUGUUUUUUAUUGGUCAUCAUGAAAAAAAAACAUAAGGGGAAACACUGUUGUUUUUUAUUGGUCAUCAUGAAAAAAAACAUAUAA
ensembl:lncRNA